CACCUUGUGUUCACAUUUCUGAUCAAUGGGUAAUUUCAUCCAUUCACUAUCAUCCCCCAUGGUGCUUUAGUUUCUUGUAAAUCAGUAAUUCCUAGGCCGCGACCGGCCAGUCGGUAAGGCAAACCUCGGGCCGCUCCUCAAGUGGGUUUGAAA